GCCGGUAGCAACUGUCGCGGGACAACGAGCAGUCGACACGAAACGGACACACGACAAAACCCGGAGUCAAUGCGCCGCCUGGACGGGAGAGAGAAAAAAUCAACGUGAGAGAGAAACAUCAAUUGGUUGCCUCCCGUUCGCUCCCUGACCAGGGGUUCAAACUCGCAACCCAGUUUCCCUGAAGACUCCAUUGAGACAGUCUAUCUGUCUAUCACCAUCAACCCCAGCCUUCAACCCAACGAGGUAUCCGCAGAGGCCCCUUGUACCUUGCUGCCUGUGGCUUGUCAAGUGUGUGCCAUGGUGGUAUGUCAGUGCUGGGCAUGAACUCUGCUGUCUUUGCAUUGAGCUCAACUAUUUAUUCUAAGUUUGGUACCCAGGUUUUCUUAUUGGUUCCCUUUGUUUGUCAUCCUUGGUGGAAUCAAGCUAUUCCUUUUCAUCUUUGUUGGCUCUCUUUUGUACUUCUGUUUUGAACUGUGCUGCCUAAAAGGGUUGUUUGUCAUAAGAGGCAGAAUCAGAGGGUGGAACACAGGCCCGGGCCCUAGAAACCUGUUGUUGGAGUGGCCUUGUAGACCAAUCAGUUUGCAGUUCUCUCCAAACUGGUGUCCAUCUGGACGAAUUUUGUCGAGGGUAACAGACGAAACUAGAUGAGGUCCCUGCUGUUUUAAUUUUUUUUCCUGAGAAUUUGCCUGUAAGUUAGAGAAUGUACUCUAAUUUUCCACCUGCUAUGGGGCACAGAUUUUCAUGUCUGUGUUCAGA